rnacentral:tRNA from 1 species
GAGGAUUUAGCUCAGUGGUAGAGCACUUGCCUAGCAAGCACCAAAGCCCUGGGUUCAGUCCUCA